AAAACAAUGCUUGGCGAGAUAAUUAGCAUGGGUUCAUAAAGCCUGUGUAUUUUAUAGACUUGCUACAACUCUUAACAUGACAGGUUACAUAUUUGCUUGGUGUGGCACGUGGAUCAUGACUCGCGCCAGCGUGUAUAACGAACUUCCGCGUCCCCAAAUCGGGUUUCUUCCCGGUAAGGUAUGCAUUGGGCUAGGAAUAUAUUUGGGCCUAGUCUUGGAUUUUUUGGGUCUCAACAGGUGUCAAAUGGGACAGGCCGGCCCAACAUAGCAUGAGCCCAGCCUGUUUAAAUGAGGCACGACAUGGCAUGAGCACUAAUAUUAAUGGGCCAUGCUGGGCACAACACAAAAAUUUAAGCCGGGCCAGGAUGAAAAAAUAAGGUCCAAUGGACUGGGCCGUCCAAUGGACCGGGCCGGCCCAUGGCCCGAGCCCGCUUAAAGCACGGCCCAAGCCCAACCCACUUAACAUUUUUUUCUUUCUCAAAAGUCAAAAUGCAAUAAUUUGACAUCUAAUGUCAUUGUUUAUAAGGAAAUAGCCCUAAAUGCCAC
rnacentral:lncRNA from 1 species